AUGGGCGCCAGCCUGGNCCCAGCNUCGCCUGCGUUGGNAGGAAGAAGCCCUUCGGGGUGUAAACUCCUGUCACCGGGGACGAAGCUUAUCAGGGUUAAUAGCCCUAAUGAGUGACGGUACCCGGAGAGGAAGGGACGGCUAACUACGUGCCAGCAGCCGCGGUAAUACGUAGGUCCCGAACGUUGCGCGA
rnacentral:rRNA from 1 species